AUGACUGUGUCACUGCACUCCAGCCUGGAUUACAGAAAAGAAGAAGGACAGCCAUUACUAUUUAAAGAAAGAUAAACUGAGGCUCAGAAGCAUUAAAAGACCUGUCCAAGGCCCCUGGCAGCUCUUCAUCUGAAGAUGUCUUUAUUUUCCCCUCAUACCUUGUGUUUUUGAUAUAGCUUAAGAUGGAUUUUUGUUUGUUUGUUUGUUUUAUCCUGUUUGGGAUUUAUACACCGUCUAGAAUCUGAAGGUUUGUGUCUUUCACCCAAUGUUUCUCUGAAUAGUGAGGGAAGAAGAGGAGAGGAGGGAGGGGUAGAGAGACAGGGAGAGAGGAAGGGGGUGGAAUGGGAAAGAGGGAGGGGGAGGAAUGGAGAGAGAAAGGGAGGAAAAGGGAGUAGG
rnacentral:lncRNA from 1 species